rnacentral:rRNA from 1 species
GAAAGUAAGCAAGGGCAGACGGUGGAUGCCUUGGCUCUCGGAGGCGAUGAAGGACGUGAUAAGCUGCGAUAAGCUUGGGGUAGGUGCAAAUAACCUUUGAUCCCAAGAUUUCCGAAUGGGGCAACCCGGCUGGUAGAAGGCCAGUCAUUCCGUAAGGAAGGCGAACGUGGGGAACUGAAACAUCUAAGUACCCAUAGGAGAAGAAAACAAAAGUGAUUCCGCAAGUAGUGGCGAGCGAACGCGGAACAGCCCAAACCGAUGAUGUUUAGGCAUUGUCGGGGUAGUAGGACCACGUUGUGGCAAGAGAUUAAGGAAGUAGAACGUUUUGGAACAAACGGCCGUAGACGGUGAAAGCCCAGUAUACGACUCUUUAACGAAGCCUAGUGGAAUCCUGAGUAGCGCGGAGCACGAGAAAUUCUGUGUGAAUCAGCGGGGCCCAUCCCGUAAGGCUAAAUACUCCCGAGAGACCGAUAGCGAACCAGUACUGUGAAGGAAAGGUGAAAAGCACCUCGAACAGAGGAGUGAAAUAGUCCCUGAAACCGUCUGCCUACAAGCGGUCGGAGCAACGUAAGUUGUGACGGCGUGCCUUUUGCAUAAUGAACCUACGAGUUACUUUCUCCGGCAAGGUUAAGGGCUUCAGGCCCGGAGCCGAAGCGAAAGCGAGUCUUAAUAGGGCGUGAUAGUCGGAGUGAGUAGACGCGAAACCAAGUGAUCUACCCUUGGUCAGGAUGAAGGUUGGGUAACACCAACUGGAGGUCCGAAUGGGUAUACGUUGAAAAGUGUUCCAAUGAACUGAGGGUAGGGGUGAAAGGCUAAUCAAACUUGGAGAUAGCUCGUACUCCCCGAAAUGCAUUUAGGUGCAGCCUUUAUUUAGUAUAGCAUGAGGUAGAGCGACUGAUUGGAUGCGAGGGCUUCACCGCCUAUCAAGUCCAGAUAAACUCCGAAUGCGUGCUAUAUAUUGAUAAGGAGUGAGGGCGCGGGUGCUAAGGUCCGCGUCCGAGAGGAGAAGAAUCCAGACCAUCAGCUAAGGUCCCCAAAUAACAGUUAAGUUGAACUAACGAAGUCGGACUGCAGAGACAGCUAGGAUGUUGGCUUGGAAGCAGCCAUUCAUUUAAAGAGUGCGUAACAGCUCACUAGUCGAGGAGUCCGGCGUGGAUAAUACUCGGGCAUAAACUGUUUACCGAAGCUAUGGAUGUAGAAAUACAUGGUAGGGGAGCAUUCCAACGGCGUCGAAGGUGAAGGAUGACCUUUGCUGGAGCUUUUGGAAACGCAAAUGUAGGUAUAAGUAACGAUAAAGGAGGUGAGAAACCUCCUCGCCGAAAGACUAAGGUUUCCUGAUCAACGUUAAUCGGAUCAGGGUAAGUCGGGACCUAAGGUUAAGCCGAACGGCGAUACCGAUGGAAGAAUGGUUUAAUAUUCCCAUACUACUUUAUGGAGCGAUGUGGAGACGGAGAAGUGAAAGUCCUGCCAUCUGACGGAAUAGGUGGUUGAAGAGUGUAGAUGUAGAUUCCUGUAGGCAAAUCCGCAGGGAGAGUCGACCUUGAUAGUAUGCCGCGUGCUUGCACAAGGCAAAAUGGACGUAAUCAGGCUCCCAAGAAAAUCCGCUAAGCAUAUUCAUAAAGUACCCGUACCGUAAACGGACACACGUAGUUGGGUUGAAAAUACUGAGGCGCUCGAGUGAUUCACGGUUAAGGAACUAGGCAAAUUGACCCUGUAACUUCGGGAUAAAGGGUCCCUACUGAGAGGUAGGGCGCAGAGAAUAGGUCCAGGCAACUGUUUAACAAAAACACAUGGCUGUGCGAAAUAGAAAUAUGAAGUAUACAGCCUGACACCUGCCCGGUGCUGGAAGGUUAAGAGGAGAGCUCAUCGCAAGAGAAGGCUUGAAUUGAAGCCCCAGUAAACGGCGGCCGUAACUAUAACGGUCCUAAGGUAGCGAAAUUCCUUGUCGGGUAAGUUCCGACCUGCACGAAUGGUGUAA